AUAAUGACGGUAACACCAGAAGAAGCCCCGGCUAAAUUCGUGCCAGCAGCCGCGGUAAUACGAAUGGGGCAAGCGUUGUUUGGAAUCACUGGGCUUAAAGCGUGCGCAGGCGGUUAUGAAAGUCAGAAGUGAAAGCCCCGGGCUCAACCCGGGAACUGCUUUUGAAACUCCAUAACUAGAGUCCGGGAGAGGAUAGCAGAAUUCCCAGUGUAGAGGUGAAAUUCGCAGAUAUUGGGAGGAAUACCGAUGGCGUAGGCAGCUAUCUGGACCGGUACUGACGCUCAGGCACGAAAGCGUGGGGAUCAAACAGGAUUAGAUACCCUGGUAGUCCCCGCUGUAAACGAUGUGUGCUAGUUGUUGGAUCUCUUAGAGGUUCAGUGACGCAGCGAAAGCGUUAAGCACACCGCCUGGGGAGUACGGCCGCAAGGUUAAAACUCAAAGGAAUUGACGGGGACCCGCACCAGCGGUGGAGCAUGUUGUUUAAUUCGAAGGCACCGCAAGACCUUACCCCCCCUUG
rnacentral:rRNA from 1 species